UACGUAGGGUGCAAGCGUUGUCCGGAAUUAUUGGGCGUAAAGGGCGCGUAGGCGGCUUUGCAAGUGACGGGUGAAAUCCCUCGGCUUAACCGAGGAACUGCCUGUCAAACUGCAUGGCUUGAGACCGGGAGAGGUGAGUGGAAUUCCCAGUGUAGCGGUGAAAUGCGUAGAUAUUGGGAGGAACACCAGUGGCGAAGGCGGCUCACUGGACCGGUACUGACGCUGAUGCGCGAAAGCGUGGGUAGCAAACAGG
rnacentral:rRNA from 1 species